ACGAACGCUGGCGGCGUGCUUAACACAUGCAAGUCGAACGGAAAGGCCCUGCUUUUGUGGGGUGCUCGAGUGGCGAACGGGUGAGUAACACGUGAGUAACCUGCCCUUGACUUUGGGAUAACUUCAGGAAACUGGGGCUAAUACCGGAUAGGAGCUCCUGCUGCAUGGUGGGGGUUGGAAAGUUUCGGCGGUUGGGGAUGGACUCGCGGCUUAUCCGCUUGUUGGUGGGGUAGUGGCUUACCAAGGCUUUGACGGGUAGCCGGCCUGAGAGGGUGACCGGCCACAUUGGGACUGAGAUACGGCCCAGACUCCUACGGGAGGCAGCAGUGGGGAAUAUUGCACAAUGGGCGGAAGCCUGAUGCAGCAACGCCGCGUGCGGGAUGACGGCCUUCGGGUUGUAAACCGCUUUCGCCUGUGACGAAGCGUGAGUGACGGUAAUGGGUAAAGAAGCACCGGCUAACUACGUG
rnacentral:rRNA from 1 species